GUAGCCAUUUGGUCACAAACACUGGCCAAAGUUAGCGUUAGUAUUUGUUUGUAUGUGAAAAAUGACAAAAACGCCAAUUUUGGCCAGUGUUUGUGACUAAGUGGCUAC